rnacentral:rRNA from 1 species
GAGCUCUCCCAUAUGGUCGACCUGCAGGCGGCCGCGAAUUCACUAGUGAUUGUUGAUCCUGGCUCAGAUUGAACGCUGGCGGCAGGCUUAACACAUGCAAGUCGAACGGUAACAGAGAAUAGCUUGCUAUUCUGCUGACGAGUGGCGGACGGGUGAGUAAUGCUUGGGAAUUUGCCGAAAGGUGGGGGACAACAGUUGGAAACGACUGCUAAUACCGCAUAAUGUCUACGGACCAAAGGUGGCCUCUAUUUAUAUGCUAUCGCCUUUCGAUGAGCCCAAGUGGGAUUAGCUAGUUGGUAAGGUAAUGGCUUACCAAGGCGACGAUCCCUAGCUGGUCUUAGAGGAUGACCAGCCACACUGGAACUGAGACACGGUCCAGACUCCUACGGGAGGCAGCAGUGGGGAAUAUUGCACAAUGGGGGAAACCCUGAUGCAGCCAUGCCGCGUGUGUGAAGAAGGCUUUCGGGUUGUAAAGCACUUUCAGCGAGGAGGAAAGGGUGAUGGCUAAUAUCCAUUAUCUGUGACGUUACUCGCAGAAGAAGCACCGGCUAACUCCGUGCCAGCAGCCGCGGUAAUACGGAGGGUGCAAGCGUUAAUCGGAAUUACUGGGCGUAAAGCGCGCGUAGGUGGUUAAUUAAGUCAGAUGUGAAAGCCCAGGGCUCAACCUUGGAACUGCAUUUGAAACUGGUUGACUAGAGUUUUGUAGAGGGUGGUAGAAUUUCAGGUGU